rnacentral:rRNA from 1 species
AUUGAACGCUGGCGGCAGGCCUAACACAUGCAAGUCGAACGGUAACAGGAAGCAGCUUGCUGCUUCGCUGACGAGUGGCGGACGGGUGAGUAAUGUCUGGGAAGCUGCCUGAUGAGGGGGAUAACUACUGGAAACGGUAGCUAAUACCGCAUAAUGUCGCAAGACCAAAGAGGGGGACCUUCGGGCCUCUUGCCAUCGGAUGUGCCCAGAUGGGAUUAGCUUGUUGGUGGGGUAACGGCUCACCAAGGCGACGAUCCCUAGCUGGUCUGAGAGGAUGACCAGCCACAAUGGAACUGAGACACGGUCCAGACUCCUACGGGAGGCAGCAGUGGGGAAUAUUGCACAAUGGGCGCAAGCCUGAUGCAGCCAUGCCGCGUGUAUGAAGAAGGCCUUCGGGUUGUAAAGUACUUUCAGCGGGGAGGAAGGGAGUAAAGUUAAUACCUUUGCUCAUUGACGUUACCCGCAGAAGAAGCACCGGCUAACUCCGUG